AAUGUGCUAUUUUAGAGAUUUGCCCUUAGACUAAUCAUAAAAUUAAUUAACAAUAUACACUUAAUGUUUUCAUUCUUUCCUUAAAUAAAUGUACAAAAUUACUUAAUAUCUUCUUAUAUAGUAAUGAAGUGUUAUCUCUCCCGUGAGAGUGCCACAUCAUUAAGUCGUUAACCACAGCGCGACACGUGUUCCUUUUUCUUAAUUGGGCCAGAACAAGUUGCUUUUGGGCUUAAAUUACAUUUAUCGUGUUGGUGUGGAUUAAGAUUGGGCUGAGAAAAGUAACUAAAAACCUAUCCCGAAUGUCGACCGCUGGAGCUUUCCCCUCCAACAAUGGUUGUUUCAGAUUACUAGGGUUCUUGUCGUCGUCUUCUACUUUAUAUCUCCUUCUUCAACGCUUGCUUCUUAUAGAUUCGUAGGUUCAUAGCAUCAUCUUCUUCUUUCUGUAAUUAGGGCAAUAGACGGUGUAGAUUCUGGAGGCAACCAUUACGCGAAGCACUGAAGCAACGCCAUUGACGACCUUCUUAACUCUUUAUCCCCACUACAUCAACGAUAACGCAUUCAAUGCAUCUUGACUCUCACCAAAUCGGUAUAUCUCCAGCUAUAAAAAAGGUAAACUUUCAUCCCGUAGAACUCAUCCUCACAACUCCAAAAACACCAGAACCUUCUUUUCAAUAGAAUGGCAAACUCAUCUAUCGUACCAGCUGAUUUAAUGUCUGGCCGUUGUACUUCCACCGCCGAAGUGCGACUGCUCCGGUUUUGGGAAGCUAGAAAUUUGAAACGCUGUGGUGCUGCUCCUUGACGCUAAGAUUUGUCUGGAGAAACGUUGAAUCAUCUUACCAUGGAGAUCACAUGGGCUUGGGUGACGUCAAGGUUGAACUGCAAGGACUUGUAGGAGUUCAAGUUUGCCGGUGAUGGUGCCCCUACAAUUACUCCCUCAUAUCUUGGCAGUAAAUAAGGAAUUUAGAUGGAGGAAAGUUCCAUGAGUUGAUUUAGUACACUACUUUACUGAUCAUACUGUCAGGAGCAUCCAACACAGAUCUAACUCAUUGUUACUUUGUGUACUUCAAUAGGUUGUGCAUGCCAACACUGAGGUAUGGCUUCGGUCACUUUACUCAUAUGUUGUGGGCUUUAGUUUUUUUCCCAUGACUUAUGUUAUUACAAAUUGUGUUCGGCUUUUACUGUAUAUAACAUAUUGAGGGUGUAAAAUCCUACUAAACAUCACAACCAAAGGUUUUCUCUUCUAUUUAUAAGGUAAAAUGAGAACUGUUGCUGUGUUUUAUUCUUUGGGAUGAUGAUUGACACAAAGAUUUGGCCGUAUGUCUUUUUAUUCCCAAAAUUUUCUAAAUGUGGUGCUAUAGUUAACCUUUUCACAUGUUGUUUAUAAUGCAGUCGUUGUCUCUGCACUCUGAUAUGCUGUGUGCUUUGAAGUUGUAGGGAAGCGAUGCUUUGAACUUAAACCUAAACAACUCCACUUCUCAGGCUGUUAGGUGGUGAAGGUCAAUAUAAAGUGUGCCAAAAUGUAGGUGGCUUCUCUUCCACCAACACUCUGCUACAAAAUAGUGAAAAUGUACCUAAGAAAAUAAAUGGUUUAGCUCUAGGCAGAUUCCUUAUUUGACCACAACUUUUGCUUGCUAAAUAAAGCUUUAGAAGCUAGCACCCAUUUUAAAAAUAAAAAUUUAGCAUCAUGUAUGUGUUUAGUCUUUCAAUAUAAGCAUAUUUCAUUAAUCA